AACAAACGCUGGCGGCGUGCCUAACACAUGCAAGUCGAACGCGAAAAUCGGCUUCGGCCGAUGAGUAAAGUGGCGCACGGGUGAGUAACGCGUGGAUAAUCUACCCUUCAGUUGGGAAUAACUUAUCGAAAGGUGAGCUAAUACCGAAUAAAACUGCCUGACCACGGUCGGGUAGUCAAAGAUAGCCUCUGCUUGCAAGCUUUCGCUGAAUGAUGAGUCCGCGUACCAUUAGCUAGUUGGUGGGGUAAUGGCCUACCAAGGCGACGAUGGUUAGCUGGUCUGAGAGGAUGAUCAGCCACACUGGAACUGAGACACGGUCCAGACUCCUACGGGAGGCAGCAGUGAGGAAUCUUGCGCAAUGGGGGAAACCCUGACGCAGCAACGCCCGUGAGUGAGGAAGGUCUUCGGAUCGUAAAAGCUCUUGGUCGGGGUGGGAAAAGAAAAAUGUUAUGGGGGUUUAAAUAGGCCUUCAUAACUUUAGUAACCGGGUAACCAACCCAAAAACGGGAAAGACGAACCCGGGUCCUAAACCUUACCC
rnacentral:rRNA from 1 species